UACGUAGGUGGCAAGCGUUGUCCGGAUUUACUGGGCGUAAAGAGCGCGCAGGCGGUCGUUCAAGUCGCGUGUGAAAGCCCCCGGCUCAACUGGGGAGGGUCACGCGAUACUGAUCGACUCGAAGGCAGGAGAGGGAAGUGGAAUUCCCGGUGUAGUGGGUGAAAAUGCGUAGAUAUCGGGAGGAACACCAGUGGCGAAGGCGACUUCCUGGCCUGUUCUUGACGCUGAGGCGCGAAAGCUAGGGGAGCAAACGGGG
rnacentral:rRNA from 1 species